GCCAAAAACUAGCCUGCACAACACACCAUAAAUCACUUCACACAAACUAAACCAUUUACCAAAUCCAGUAUAUGAGAUAGAACUUUAAACACAGCGCAAUAGCCCAAAUCGUACCACAAGGGAACCAUGAAAGACUAAUUAAUAACCACAAGCACAGCACAGCAGGGCUAAAGCCCCGUACCUCCUGCAUCAUGGUUUAGCCAGCAGCUCGCCGACAAAGUGCCCUGUGUCCGCCACCC
rnacentral:rRNA from 2 species